rnacentral:rRNA from 1 species
GACGAACGCUGGCGGCGUGCUUAACACAUGCAAGUCGAACGGAAAGGACCUGCUUUUGUGGGGUGCUCGAGUGGCGAACGGGUGAGUAACACGUGAGUAACCUGCCCUUGACUUUGGGAUAACUUCAGGAAACUGGGGCUAAUACCGGAUAGGAGCUCCUGCUGCAUGGUGGGGGUUGGAAAGUUUCGGCGGUUGGGGAUGGACUCGCGGCUUAUCAGCUUGUUGGUGGGGUAGUGGCUUACCAAGGCUUUGACGGGUAGCCGGCCUGAGAGGGUGAACGGCCACAUUGGGACUGAGAUACGGCCCAGACUCCUACGGGAGGCAGCAGUGGGGAAUAUUGCACAAUGGGCGGAAGCCUGAUGAAGCAACGCCGCGUGCGGGAUGACGGCCUUCGGGUUGUAAACCGCUUUCGCCUGUGACGAAGCGUGAGUGACGGUAAUGGGUAAAGAAGCACCGGCUAACUACGUG